GCCGGAGUGGCGGAACUGGCAGACGCACUGGACUCAAAAUCCAGCGGGGGUUAAACCUCGUGUCGGUUCGAAUCCGACCUCCGGCACCA
rnacentral:tRNA from 1 species